AGAUCCAGACAGAUAGAACAGCAGAAUUUUUCUGGGUUCAGCUGAUUUCUCUGCUCCUCCAUUUCAGCUCUCAGAAACAACGACUGUCUGAGUUUCACUUCUUCAUAAACUGAACCAGGGUGUGUGUAGUGAACAGCUGCUCCUCCUCCUAUUGCUCCUCCUACCCUCAUACUGCAGACCAGGUAGUAUGUGGUCAGACUGGUCUGACUGUGAUUCAACAUGGAGGGUCAUUACAUGAGAUUCAUUCCAGGCGAAGGAGGAGCAGGAGUAAGAGAAGGAGGAGGUGCUCUGAUUGGCUCUGGUUUUUCUUUGAAUGAACAGAAGUUAUAUAUAUAAAAUAUGACAUCAAGUCUUUUAGAAAGUCAGUAAAGUCAUCAGUUAAAUCAUAGUGUUUAAUUUAACAUUUAAUGUGUUUAAUGGCAGAUUUAUUCAUCAACAACUUCAACCUUAUUUAUUAACAAACAAAUGCCUAAGAAACCCUCAGGUGGAGCCUGAGACCAGGUUAAACGGAGACACCUUUGGGUAUGAAGGAGGUCCACCAGGGCCCCGGUCUUCCUGGACAAGAAUCAAACUUGUUGUUUUCCCUUUUUUUUUCCAAAUUGUCCAUUGUUCGAAAAUACUCAAGAGCACCAUGGAGUCAGGCACCAGCAUGGAGGGGCAUCAGUAGACAAGGUCUGGAGGAUCUGCAGACACGUGAAGAGACUAAUGUUGGACCCUGGUGACAGGUGACGUCUUAAUGUCAUGUCAGAAGCCGCGGCCGUGGCACUCACGCUUCUCCUCAGAGCUGACACACACUCCACAACAGGUCAACACCAUGGAUGAACACCUGAGCAGAGUGCUGUCCUCCUCCGUGUCUGUCCUCCAUCUUCAUCCCAUCUGUCAUGGCUAUCCCGUUGGUUGGUGAUGCUCCAUCUCAACCUGACCCCACCCACGGUCUGCUUUUUUUCAGACAGCCACACACACACACACACACAAAGAAAAGCUCAUCAGAGAGGAUCGGUCCCGGUCACUGCAGCCUGCUUCAGUGUUACUGACGCUAAAGUGGGUUUUGUCCAGGUGCCAGCAGAGAUGGAGAUUAAUGACGCCGCCGUCUCCGUGUCUGCUGGUUAAUAAUGCUUAUUCAUCACUGUCGCCGACGAUGCUGCUGCUGCAGCCAACACAGCUAACACAAACACAAACGAGAACAGAAGUCAAUGGUACUUCAAGAGUAGGGAAGUCUUCUUACUUCGUACCCUCCACAGGUUAGCAAAGAAAUGCUAGUUCAACACUAAUUCUUAAAGAAAAAAAACCCCCAAACAAAACAAUUAUCUAAUGCCCACCACAUCUGUCCUCUUUAUUUUCCCUAACAGUUGUGGGGUAACUCACUGCUAAUCUCUACAAUCUAUUUUCUGGUGUGAAGCUAACUGUUGGCAUACGUUUUCUGCUAUGGUUAGGUUAGCAAGUGAGGCUAAUGUCAGACCUUUUACUUAUUCUCAUGAAGUUAGUUAGGUUUAUGAUACACGUGUAACAUUUUAGUAUGAAAUUAGGGGUUUUUUAUAUUAAAUUUGGCUAUUUUUUUGACAAACUAUACUUGUGUUUUGGCUAAAAUUUGUAUUUUGUUCUAAUUGUUAAUUCUCGUUCUCAACUUUGGUUUCGCUGCUUCCACUCGCGUAUACUCGAGUAUUUGUCCAAUCACAUUUCAGUCUCACGCGUUGCUAGGGUUAGAGAAAUCUUCCCUAAGGCCUUUAGAAACAGUGGCACCAAUACCAAGACCUUCUGGCAGGUGUAAACUGACGUUGGUGAUUAGCGUGGUUUUGAUUGGAUGGUCUAAGAACACAGUCUCCAAACUGGCUAGCAACAAGUAGCCGCGGGAAUAAAGUUUUGUUUUCUGCGCCCGUUGCUUCUGACGAACCAACAUUCUCUUCUUGAAAUGAAUUAAAACGUUUUUUUGUUUUCAUUAACACGACAGGACAGACUGGACUUUCAACGUUAACGUGGAUGGCGAUAGAAAAAGUCGUUGUUAAAAACUGGAAUUUACGGAUAAUCUGUUCAACUUGAACUCAUCUUAAAGAAAUGGGUUCAACGGCAGAUUUAUUCAUCAACACAAUGGUAUGUUUAUUUAUAUAUAUAUUUAUAUUUAUAUUGGAUUUGGCUAAUUUUAGACAAAUUAUACUUGUUUCGGCUAAAAUUUGUAUUUUGUUCUAAUUAUUAAUUCUCGUCCUCAACUUUGGUUUCGCUGCUUCCACUCGCGUAUACUCGAGUAUUUGUCCAAUCACAUUUCAGUCUCACGCGUUGCUAGGGUUAGAGAAAUCUUCCCUAAGGCCUUUAGAAACAGUGGCACCAAUACCAAGACCUUCUGGCAGGUGUAAACUGACGUUGGUGAUUAGAGUGGUUUUGAUUGGAUGGUCUAAGAACACACAGUAUCCAAACUGGCUAGCAACAAGUAGCCGCGGGAAUAAAGUUUUGUUUUCUGCGCCCGUUGCUUCUGACGAACCAACAUUCUCUUCUUGAAAUGAAUUAAAACGUUUUUUUGUUUUUAUUAACACGACAGGACAGACUGGACUUUCAGCGUUAACGUGGAUGGCGAUAGAAAAAGUCGUUGUUAAAAACUGGAAUUUACGGAUAAACUGUUCAACUUGAACUCAUCUUAAAGAAAUUGGGUUGGAGGGUGGAACUAAUCCGAAGUUUUGAACGUUGCUGAGAGAAGAUGAAAAAGAGGCUCGAAAUGAGGAGAAACAACUGAAUGAGGAGGAAAACAUGGAACCUCUGGCCUUUGCUGCUGUGCUGGUUUGGUUGAUGGUCCAGGGUAGAGGAUCCAGGCUGCAAACAGAUUUGGACAGAACAGAUGUACCUGGACAACAAUAAGAGUAAUCCUCCACCUGACUGUGAUACGACCGAAAUCCCUGACAAUUCUAUUGUGAAGUUGGUCUCAUUUGCUCUUCAGUCGGUGAACGGACGAGUUCAGGAUCAGAAAGUCUGAUGUCAGCGUAUGUUGAGCUGCUUCGUGUCGAUUCCCUGGACAGAGGAGGCUCGGGGGCACACACACACACACACACACACCCAGACUAAUGAACAUGUUGUAUGUUACGUUGUCGCGAUGAGACGUCCCCAUGGACGAAUAAAGAGACUCCUGGACUCAAAGAUGUGAACAAACACACACUCUCGUCCACAUAUCAUCAAACCACCACAACUAGGGCAAAUGUUCCACACUUUAUUCUGCCUCGUUUGUGUUUUUUAUUUUUUCCCCCAUAAGAGAUUGAAGUAAAUUUGCGACCAAGGCGAGCGAUUCAUUAGCAUAAAAGACGGCGGCAGCACGAGGGCUGGAGUCCACGGAGGACGUCUGUGUGACCGCUCUGGUGUUUAAUCAGGUUUCUGACGGUGACGUGAAGGGAAGGUGGCGCCGUAGAGAGAGAGAGAGAGAGGGAGAGAGAGAGUGCAGGAUCAGCAACAAGUGCAUGUGCAGGAAUGGAGGAUGAUUAUCAUGCAGCACAGCAGGAAGGCUCAGUGUGUGUGUGUGUGUUUGUGUGUGUGUUUGUGUGUGUGUUUGGAUCUUCUGAAAGAAACACAUAGAUCAGAACUUCUGUUAACAAGCCUUUGCUAUUGUUUGGUGAGAAGAGACGGUGUCGCCGUCCAAAAUCUGCACGUCAGCUCUGAAAGAAGAGCUGUUUCGUUUUUCUUUUUUUUUUUUCUUUUUUUUACCUCCAUAUGGCCACAGGAGGAGCCAAACUACACCAGCCAAGUAACAACUACACUACACCGUCCCAGUUUAAGGAGGUUUGGCUGUGAGAGUGUGGAGCUUCUCUUCUCAGCCGAUGGCCACCAAUAAUUACACACAUGGUCACUGAGGUCAAUAGGUCACGGUGUGAGUGUGUGUUUUUCAUUGAACAAAAUCAUUUUUUUGUGUUCACUCCUGUGUAGAUCAUUGUACCUAAACAGUUCACCUGUAAUUAAUGUGGUUAUUGUAUGUUAACAAUAAUUAUUCAUUGAUUGACAAAUAGAGAAAAUAAAGUUAGAGAAAACUAGUUAACAUGAAUAGACUAACUUUUAGACUAGAUUUAUAUUGGAAUGAUUUUAAUAAUGAAUCCUUUAAUUACAACAGUAAAAGGUCAAGGAAUGAAAAUACAUUCAAACAUGAGAUGAAAACAUUUGAAAAUACUGAAGAAUGAGUCGUAAAGAUUCUGGGAGUUAAAAAUAAUCAUACAGAAAGAUUCUCUGACCUUUCAGUCUGUGAAACACACACACACACACACACACACACCAUGUGAACAGAAGAUCACCAGCGUGUGUGGAGCAGGUUUGCUGACACCUAAAGGUCAGAGUUGGUGCAGGUUUGGAGGAACACGUGUGGUGAAUGGCACCGGUGUUUCCUGUUGGUGACUUUGAUAAGAUGUGAAAAAUGGAUUGGAACAAAAUGUAUUUUUAUAAGAAAGGAAACUUGUACAAAUGAAUAUAUCUUAUAUCUAGAGUUGAGGUGAGAACCAGCUGUAGUUCAUCGUCAUCCAAUCACAGACUGACUCCAUGUUGUUGAGAUCAGGUCUGGUCAUCGCAACAAUGUUUGUUCGUCUCUGUCCUGAUGAGGUUCUUAACAGGAAUGAUCUAUUUUUGUUUUGGUAGUUGUACUGGAGCAGUUGUAGCUAACGUUAGCUCUGG